UACCUGGUUGAUCCUGCCAGUAGUCAUAUGCUUGUCUCAAAGACUAAGCCAUGCAUGUCUGAGUUCGCCCCAUACCGCACGGGCAGACCGCGGAAGGCUCAGUAAACCAGUCCGAGUUCCUUAGGUGACGGGCCCCUGACCGGGCCCGACGGAUAACUGUGGCAAAUCCAGAGCUAAUACGUGGUGUGACAGAGCCCCGACCCGCGACGGCUCGCGCGCACCCCUUAACCGGGGUGUGCCGCGGCGUCCGAGCGGGGAAGGGCGCCUUUAUUAGUACCGAGACCGGCUCGACCCCGUCGCUCUCUUAACCGGGAUGCCGGCGGGGGCGACCCACGGCCUGGUGAACUCUGGGUGACGGCCCGAACGCUACGUCCUCCGGGACGGCGGCGCUCCUUACAAGCGUCUGCCCUAUCAGAUGUCGACGGUGGCCAUGGGCCAACCGUGUCGCCGACGGGUAACGGGGAAUCGGGGUUCGAUUCCGGAGAGGGAGCACGAGAAACGGCUACCACAUCCAAGGAAGGCAGCAGGCGCGCAAAUUACCCACUCCCGGUCCGGGGAGGUAGUGACGAGAAGUAACGGUGGCGGGACCCGAGUCGGGCCCCGCGGUCGGAAUGAGCGCAGUCCAACAACCCUGACGGCGACGACCAAUCGGAGGGCAAGCCUGGUGCCAGCAACCGCGGUAAUUCCAGCUCCGAUAGCGUAUACUAAAGCUGCUGCAGUUAAAAAGCUCGUAGUUGGAUCUCGGGGGGGGCGCCGCGAAAGGAGGUGGGCUCACCAUUCCCCGCGGCGACCCCUCUACAAGUCGCCGGCUCCCCCGCGGCCGUCCUUGACUGGGCGUCCCGGGCGGCCGGCUCCUCACUUUGAAAAAAUUAGAGUGUUCAAGGCGGGCCCACGCGCCCGGAUACCGUCGCACGGAAUGAUGGAAGAGGACAGCCGUCCCACACAUCACGGCCGGUCUCAGGGACGGAGGUAAUGAUUGACAGGGAUGAUCGGGGGCAUCCGUACCGCGGCGGGAGAAGUGAAACUUGAUGAUCGUCGCGAGACGGCCGAGAGCGAAAGCACUUGCCAAGAGCGUUUUCCUUAAUCAAGAACGAAAGUCGGAGGUUCAAAGACGAUUAGAUACCGUUGUAGUUUCGACCCUAAAUGUUGCCGACCGGCGAUCCGCGGAGGUCCCGCCUGGGACCGCGCGGGCGGCCCUCGGGAAACCAGAGUCACUGGGUUCCGGGGGGAGUAUGGUCGCAAGUCUGAAACUUAAAGGAAUUGACGGAAGGGCACCACCAGGAGUGGGGUCUGCGGCUCAAUUUGACUCAACACGGGGAAACUUACCCGGUCCGGACACCGCCAGGAUUGACAGACCGAGGCUCUUUCUUGAUUCGGUGGGUGGUGGUGCAUGGCCGUUCCUAGUCGGUGGAGCGAUCUGUCUGGUUAAUUCCGAUAACGGACGAGACUCCGGCCUGCCAGUUAGCGUCGGGGCGUCAUCGAGGCGGUCGCGGCGUCCGUCAACGCCUCCCGUGCGUGCGAGCGCCGUUCACGCGCGCGUCUCCGCGCCGGGUCGGUAGGGCCCGCGCCGCCCCGGUCGCCCCCCGACCGAUCAGACUUUCUUAGAGGGACCGGCGGUGGCCAGCCGCCACGAGAAGGAGCGAUAAACAGGUCUGUGAUGCCCUUAGACGUUCCGGGGCCGCACGCGUGCUAACACUGGGGGAGCCAACGCGGCUGACCGCCUGGCCCGAAGGGUGUCGGGAAAGCGUUGAGUCUCCCCCUGGACUGGGCCCGGGGCUUGGCCACUGUGCCCCGCCAACGAGGAAUUCCCCGUAGGCGCGGGUCAUAACCCCGCGCCGACUACGUCCCUGCCCUUUGUACACACCGCCCGUCGCUACCAUCGGUGGACGGCCUAGCGAGGACCUCGGCAUCCUCGCGCCGGGAAGACGCCCGAACUCCGGUCGCUCGGAGAUAGUAGAAGUCGUAACAAGGUUUCCGUAGGUGAACUGCGGAAGGAUCAUUA
rnacentral:ncRNA from 13 species